AAGGACGUUUGAACAGACUGUAUCCAGAGUGAAUACAGAGAAACACGACUCUCCCUUGAAUGUUCUGCUCACUCAGAGGAGUUCACCUGAACACCUUAAUAUUCUGAAGAGUCAUGAGAAAGAUACCAUCUUUUUCCUGCAGAGCUGUGAAAAAGUGUUGACGUGUGUGACGUACUGCGAGGAGCUCAGCUGAGGGAGAGGUUCAGAAGCGGCUCUUCUGGAAGAUGACGGUGGUAUCGCAGGUCUCGUCUCUGCGCUCUGGCAUGGCGUGUCGCUGUUCAGAAGAACAGGGUGUGUCACAGCCUCAGUAACAACUUUCUGUGGAGCGCUCUAAAUCAACUGGAUUUCAAGUCUACUGAGAACAUGAAGUCUUCAUGAAUUUAGGGCUUGCACAAGAUGCAGAUUUGACAGAACCAGAAACCACACUGCUUUCUGAGCCCUGUUUUAUUGGUAUAGAUACAGAGUUAACACAAUAAAGCCGUCACCUUGACUUCUUUGGAGAAAAUCCAGUAACUGAACCACUGAGAAGACUGAGCAUUCUCAGUUCUGUUGGUCUCUCCAUGCUGUCCGCGCCUAAGAAGCUUGCAGGGUGUCCCAGGACACACCUGUA